rnacentral:snoRNA from 1 species
CCCCUUUUAAAAGCACUCAUUGGGCCUUUUGCCAGUGACCCACUGAGCCGUUAAAAAGGGCAGAUUAAAAAACACCACUUUUGGGUGAAGCGGCAACAUCCGGUGUUGUUCAGCUUCAAUCGGUGAUGUGACAAAA